rnacentral:rRNA from 1 species
CGAAAGCCUGACGGAGCAAUACCGCGUGAGGGAGGAAGGCUUUUGGGUUGUAAACCUCUUUUCUCAAGGAAGAAGAACUGACGGUACUUGAGGAAUCAGCAUCGGCUAACUCCGUGCCAGCAGCCGCGGUAAUACGGAGGAUGCAAGCGUUAUCCGGAAUCAUUGGGCGUAAAGCGUCCGCAGGUGGCACAUCAAGUCUGCUGUCAAAGACAGAAGCUCAACUUCUGAAAGGCGGUGGAAACUGGUGAGCUAGAGUACGGUAGGGGUUGAGGGAAUUCCCAGUGUAGCGGUGAAAUGCGUAGAUAUUGGGAAGAACACCAGUGGCGAAGGCGCUCAACUGGGCCGUAACUGACACUCAGGGACGAAAGCUAAGGGAGCG